GUGAGCAUGGGGUACCCUACCUGUAGAAAACUCAGUUAGCCCUUUGAGAGAUCUUGGUAAAAUCAUAAAAGAGAGCCUCAAAUUAUAGUGGUGUUUUAUUAUGUAAAGGCUGCCAUGAUUCGGUUCCUAUCCGAUGAACAAGAACAUCGUAGGAUAACAUCCCGUGUGGUUGAGACUGACAGCUCGGCAUUUCAUGCAACUUUGUAGACCCUGACCGGGAUCAUUUUCUUGGCCACGGUGUGGUAAAAUGGAGGCCACCAACCUCCCAAUGUAAUGAGACAAUUCAUCCACCUGAAUAGCAGAGUGGAUUUUAACGUGAUUGCAGAGGUGUCGAUUCUCAAGAGAAG